GCCUAGCCCAGAUAGUAGCGGCAUCCCACGCUUUUGGGCGUGGAUAUAGCGGAUAGCUGGAAAUAGC
rnacentral:sRNA from 1 species